rfam:Brassica napus, WGS project CCCW01000000 data, contig: 6353
GCAAUAUAAGAACCCGUCUCUUAACUUUUAACUAAAAAAGCUAAGAACCGACUCUCUUAAAUAAGAGUUUUAAGAGCCAGUUUUUAACUUUUUUAGUUAAAAGUUAAGAGACGGGUUCUUAUAUUCC